rnacentral:rRNA from 1 species
GAUGGGGUCUAUCUGCAGUCGAGCGAUGGAUUAAGAGCUUGCUCUUAUGAAGUUAGCGGCGGACGGGUGAGUAACACGUGGGUAACCUGCCCAUAAGACUGGGAUAACUCCGGGAAACCGGGGCUAAUACCGGAUAACAUUUUGAACCGCAUGGUUCGAAAUUGAAAGGCGGCUUCGGCUGUCACUUAUGGAUGGACCCGCGUCGCAUUAGCUAGUUGGUGAGGUAACGGCUCACCAAGGCAACGAUGCGUAGCCGACCUGAGAGGGUGAUCGGCCACACUGGGACUGAGACACGGCCCAGACUCCUACGGGAGGCAGCAGUAGGGAAUCUUCCGCAAUGGACGAAAGUCUGACGGAGCAACGCCGCGUGAGUGAUGAAGGCUUUCGGGUCGUAAAACUCUGUUGUUAGGGAAGAACAAGUGCUAGUUGAAUAAGCUGGCACCUUGACGGUACCUAACCAGAAAGCCACGGCUAACUACGUGCCAGCAGCCGCGGUAAUACGUAGGUGGCAAGCGUUAUCCGGAAUUAUUGGGCGUAAAGCGCGCGCAGGUGGUUUCUUAAGUCUGAUGUGAAAGCCCACGGCUCAACCGUGGAGGGUCAUUGGAAACUGGGAGACUUGAGUGCAGAAGAGGAAAGUGGAAUUCCAUGUGUAGCGGUGAAAUGCGUAGAGAUAUGGAGGAACACCAGUGGCGAAUGCGACUUUCUGGUCUGUAACUGACACUGAGGCGCGAAAGCGUGGGGAGCAAACAGGAUUAGAUACCCUGCUAGUCCACGCCGUAAACGACGAGUGCUAAGUGUUAGAGGUGUUUUCGCCCUUUUAGUGACUGAAGUUAAGUAUUAAGCAUCUCCCCCCUGGGUGAGGACGUGCGCAUGGCUUGAAACUCUAAAGUAAUUGACUGGGCUGUCGCCCAAGCCUCGUAUCAUGGUGAUUU